UACAGAGGUCCCAAGCGUUGUUCGGAUUCACUGGGCGUAAAGGGUGCGUAGGUGGCGCGGUAAGUUUGAUGUGAAAUCUCCGAGCUUAACUCGGAAAUGGCAUUGAAUACUAUCUUGCUUGAGGGUUGGAGGGGGGACUGGAAUUCUCGGUGUAGCAGUGAAAUGCGUAGAUAUCGAGAGGAACACCAGUGGCGAAGGCGAGUCCCUGGACAACUCCUGACACUGAGGCACGAAAGCUAGGGGAGCAAACGGG
rnacentral:rRNA from 1 species